GACGAACGCUGGCGGCGUGCUUAACACAUGCAAGUCGAACGGAAAGGCCCUGCUUUUGUGGGGUGCUCGAGUGGCGAACGGGUGAGUAACACGUGAGUAACCUGCCCUUGACUUUGGGAUAACUUCAGGAAACUGGGGCUAAUACCGGAUAGGAGCUCCUGCUGCAUGGUGGGGGUUGGAAAGUUUCGGCGGUUGGGGAUGGACUCGCGGCUUAUCAGCUUGUUGGUGGGGUAGUGGCUUACCAAGGCUUUGACGGGUAGCCGGCCUGAGAGGGUGACCGGCCACAUUGGGACUGAGAUACGGCCCAGACUCCUACGGGAGGAAGCAGUGGGGAAUAUUGCACAAUGGGCGGAAGCCUGAUGCAGCAACGCCGCGUGCGGGAUGACGGCCUUCGGGUUGUAACCGCUUUCGCCUGUGACGAAGCGUGAGUGACGGUAAUGGGUAAAGAAGCACCGGCUAACUACGUG
rnacentral:rRNA from 1 species